rnacentral:rRNA from 1 species
UACGAGGGGGGCGAGCGUUGUUCGGAAUUAUUGGGCGUAAAGGGUGCGUAGGCGGUUCCGCAAGUCCUGUGUGAAAUCUUCGGGCUCAACUCGAAGUCUGCACGGGAAACUGCGGGGCUUGAGUGUGGGAGAGGUGAGUGGAAUUCCCGGUGUAGCGGUGAAAUGCGUAGAUAUCAGGAGGAACACCGGUGGCGAAGGCGGAUCUCUGGGCCAUUACUGACGCUGAGGAGCGAAAGCGUGGGGAGCGAACAGG